GGAGAGGUGGCCGAGUGGCUGAAGGCACACGCUUGCUAAGCGUGCGUAGGGCGAAAGUCUUACCGCGGGUUCGAAUCCCGCCCUCUCCGCCA
rnacentral:tRNA from 1 species